ACGCGUAGGCAACCUACCCCUAGGUGUGGAACAACUCUGGGAAACUAGAGCUAAUACCGCAUGUGGCCAGCGCAAGUAAAGGCCCGCCUGGGGAGGGGCCCGCGUCCUAUCAGGUAGUUGGUGCGGUAACGGCCCACCAAGCCGAUGACGGGUAGCUGGUCUGAGAGGAUGGUCAGCCACACUGGGACUGCGACACGGCCCAGACUCCUACGGGAGGCAGCAGCAAGGAAUAUUGUGCAAUGGGCGAAAGCCAGACACAGCGACGCCGCGUGAGGGAUGAAGGCCUUCGGGUUGUAAACCUCUUUUCUCAGGGAGGAGGGACAGUACCUGAGGAAUAAGCCACGGCUAACUACGUGCCAGCAGCUGCGGUAAAACGUAGGUGGCGAGCGUUAUCCGGAUUUAUUGGGCGUAAAGAGGGCGCAGGCGGCUGGGCAAGUCGAAUGUGACAUUUCCCGGCUUAACUGGGAAAAGCCAUUCGAUAC
rnacentral:rRNA from 1 species